UCUGUAGGGUGCGAGCGUUAAUCGGAAUUACUGGGCGUAAAGCGUGCGCAGGCGGCUUUGCAAGACAGAUGUGAAAUCCCCGGGCUUAACCUGGGAGCUGCAUUUGUGACUGCAUGGCUGGAGUGCGGCAGAGGGGGAUGGAAUUCCUGGUGUAGCAGUGAAAUGCGUAGAUAUCAGGAGGAAUGCCGAUGGCGAAGGCAGGUCUCUGGGCUGAUACUGACGCUCAUGCACGAAAGCGUGGGGAGCAAACAGG
rnacentral:rRNA from 1 species